GCCGCGGUAGUGUAGUGGUUAGCACAUUAGGUUUUGAGACAUCUCCAAAUCCUCCUGAGGACCCAGGUUCGAACCCUGGCCAUGGCU
rfam:Gaeumannomyces graminis var. tritici R3-111a-1 unplaced genomic scaffold supercont2.4, whole genome shotgun sequence.